CAGCAGCCAGUGGCACGGAGUGCGGGGCCCAGUGAGCCGGGACCCACCACGCCGGGACCCACCCUGAACCUGCGCUGGCCAGCCAGCGCUGCCCGGAUCUCCUGCCCUUCCCUCGCCCUCCACACCUCCCCGCCAGCAGAGGGAGCCCACUCGGGCCUCCGCCAGCCCCAGAGAGGGGCCCCCAAAGCGCAGCUGUGGGCUGAAGGGCUCCUCCAGCGUGGCCAGGAGGCCGAGCAGACGCCCAGAGCAAGCGAGGACUGUUAGCAGAUCCCCGGCUCCAUGCUGUCGCUUCCUGGGAGAGGCUCAGGCCAGGACACAGAACCCACACCCCACGGCCCGGACCGCGCAGAGCGUCCCCUCCACAUAGGAGCGCCCCUUCUAGGAGGGCUGCCGCCCUCCUGCCCAAGCCCUCCAAGACAGGAAGGAAGCAGAACCUACAGAGGAUCAGACAACAGGCUCAGGACAGGAAGUGCCGGGUCGGAUGCUUCCUCCAGCCCGUGUAUCCUGAGACCAGUGCCAUGUGGGGCCGCCAGAGUCCUGCCUGGUGCCCAGCACUCCUCUUCCUGGAAACGCAUCCCUGUUUAGCGUAGCAAAAAUGGGGAGCUAGUAAACCUCGUGUCAUGGGCUAUGAAUGGAGACAUAAAACACUGAAAAUUCUACUACUGCGAAAGUGAAACAGUCUUGCUCCAAAUAUGGCCUUGACUAAAUUAAUUAUUAAAAUAUAAAGGGAAACAACUUCCUUUCACAUACUUGGUUGAGAAAGCAACUAAAAAAUUUAUUUCUUCUCCCAUGAGAAACACUACCUUUUAAGAUAAAAUUUAUUUUCUGUAUAUUUGCAUUAAGAGAAAAUAUGAAAAUAUUUAAUUGACAUUUUUUAUUAAAAGACUAUCAGCAUUGAAAGACAAAUUUCACAGGAAAAGCAUUGAAUCAUUAAGUUUUGUAGUCACAAAGGUAAGUAUAAUUUGCUUAAUGCUGCCCUCAGUUUACAAUGGGUCUUUAGUAUUUUCUAAGCUAUA
rnacentral:lncRNA from 10 species